rnacentral:SRP_RNA from 1 species
GCUGGGUGUGGUGGCGUGUGCCUGUAAUCCCAGCUACUCAGGAGGCUGAGGCAGGAGAAUUGCUUGAACCUGGGAGGUGGAGGUUGCAGUGAGCUGAGAGGGCGCCACUGCAUUCCAGCCUGGGCAACAGAGCAAGACUCUGUCUCAA